rnacentral:rRNA from 1 species
UACGUAGGGGGCAAGCGUUGUCCGGAUUUAUUGGGCGUAAAGAGCGUGUAGGCGGCUAGAUAGGUCCGUUGUGAAAACUCGAGGCUCAACCUCGAGACGUCGAUGGAAACCAUCUGGCUAGAGUCCAGAAGAGAAGAGUGGAAUACCACGUGUAGCGGUGAAAUGCGUAGAGAUGUGGAGGAACACCAGUGGCGAAGGCGACUCUUUGGUCUGUAACUGACGCUGAGGCGCGAAAGCGUGGGGAGCAAACAGG